GCGAGCCUGGGGAGGAGCCACCCCUAACCACCCGGAGACGGUGCCUCAACGCAGCAGGAGGAGUGGAGACUGCUCUUUCCGGAGGAGGACUCCAGGUUGUGUCUGGGAUGAAGAGAACCUCUUCCCUUGCUCAUUUUGCCCAUGAACUCCAGUGAACUAAUCCUUGAAGAAACCUCCAAAACCUAAGUGAUGCUCUUAUGAAAUCUACCCCC
rnacentral:lncRNA from 1 species